UACGGAGGGUGCAAGCGUUGUCCGGAAUCACUGGGCGUAAAGGGCGCGUAGGCGGCUCGGUAAGUAGGGGGUGAAAUCCUGCGGCUCAACCGCAGGGCUGCCUUCUAAACUGUCGAGCUCGAGCACGGUAGAGGCAGAUGGAAUUCCCGGUGUAGCGGUGGAAUGCGUAGAGAUCGGGAGGAACACCUGUGGCGAAAGCGGCGCACUGGACCACAUCUGACGCUGAGGCGCGAAAGCUAGGGGAGCAAACAGG
rnacentral:rRNA from 1 species